rnacentral:rRNA from 1 species
UACGUAGGGUGCGAGCGUUAAUCGGAAUUAUUGGGCGUAAAGGGCGCGUAGGCGGCUUGGCAAGUGGAAGGUGAAAUCCCUCGGCUUAACCGAGGAACUGCCUUCCAGACUGCUUUGCUUGAGGCCGGGAGAGGUGAGUGGAAUUCCCAGUGUAGCGGUGAAAUGCGUAGAUAUUGGGAGGAACACCAGUGGCGAAGGCGGCUCACUGGACCGGUUCUGACGCUGAGGCGCGAAAGCGUGGGGAGCAAACGGG